UACAGAGGUGGCAAGCGUUGUUCGGAAUCACUGGGCGUAAAGGGCGCGUAGGUGGUGACCUAAGCGUGCGGUGAAAGCCCGAGGCUCAACCUCGGGUCGGCCGUGCGAACUGGGUCACUGGAGCAGAAUAGAGGCAGGUGGAAUUCCGGGUGUAGCGGUGGAAUGCGUAGAGAUCCGGAAGAACACCGGUGGCGAAGGCGGCCUGCUGGGUUCUGGCUGACACUGAGGCGCGACAGCGUGGGGAGCAA
rnacentral:rRNA from 1 species